UACACUCCUACGGGAGGCAGCAGUGGGGAAUUUUGGACAAUGGGCGAAAGCCUGAUCCAGCAAUGCCGCGUGCAGGAUGAAGGCCUUCGGGUUGUAAACUGCUUUUGUACGGAACGAAAAAGCUCCUUCUAAUACAGGGGGCCCAUGACGGUACCGUAAGAAUAAGCACCGGCUAACUACGUGCCAGCAGCCGCGGUAAUACGUAGGGUGCGAGCGUUAAUCGGAAUUACUGGGCGUAAAGCGUGCGCAGGCGGUUAUGUAAGACAGAUGUGAAAUCCCCGGGCUCAACCUGGGAACUGCAUUUGUGACUGCAUGGCUAGAGUACGGUAGAGGGGGAUGGAAUUCCGCGUGUAGCAGUGAAAUGCGUAGAUAUGCGGAGGAACACCGAUGGCGAAGGCAAUCCCCUGGACCUGUACUGACGCUCAUGCACGAAAGCGUGGGGAGCAAACAGGAUUAGAAACCCUAGUAGUCCCA
rnacentral:rRNA from 1 species